rnacentral:rRNA from 1 species
CUUCUCCGGAUGAGUUGCGAACGGGUGAGUAACGCGUAGGUCACCUGCCUGGUAGCGGGGGAUAACUAUUGGAAACGAUAGCUAAUACCGCAUAACAGUAGAUAUUGCAUGAUAUCUGCUUGAAAGGUGCAAUUGCAUCACUACCAGAUGGACCUGCGUUGUAUUAGCUAGUUGGUGAGGUAACGGCUCACCAAGGCGACGAUACAUAGCCGACCUGAGAGGGUGAUCGGCCACACUGGGACUGAGACACGGCCCAGACUCCUACGGGAGGCAGCAGUAGGGAAUCUUCGGCAAUGGACGGAAGUCUGACCGAGCAACGCCGCGUGAGUGAAGAAGGUUUUCGGCUCGUAAAGCUCUGUUGUAAGAGAAGAACGAGUGUGAGAGUGGAAAGUUCACACUGUGACGGUAUCUUACCAGAAAGGGACGGCUAACUACGUGCCAGCAGCCGCGGUAAUACGUAGGUCCCGAGCGUUGUCCGGAUUUAUUGGGCGUAAAGCGAGCGCAGGCGGUUAGGUAAGUCUGAAGUUAAAGGCUGUGGCUUAACCAUAGUACGCUUUGGAAACUGUUUAACUUGAGUGC